rnacentral:rRNA from 1 species
CAGUGAAAUUGAACUCGCUGUGAAGAUGCAGUGUACCCGCGGCAAGACGGAAAGACCCCGUGAACCUUUACUAUAGCUUGACACUGAACAUUGAGCCUUGAUGUGUAGGAUAGGUGGGAGGCUUUGAAGUGUGGACGCCAGUCUGCAUGGAGCCGGCCUUGAAAUACCACCCUUUAAUGUUUGAUGUUCUAACGUGGACCCGUGAUCCGGGUUGCGGACAGUGUCUGGUGGGUAGUUUGACUGGGGCGGUCUCCUCCUAAAGAGUAACGGAGGAGCACGAAGGUUGGCUAAUCCUGGUCGGACAUCAGGAGGUUAGUGCAAUGGCAUAAGCCAGCUUGACUGCGAGCGUGACGGCGCGAGCAGGUGCGAAAGCAGGUCAUAGUGAUCCGGUGGUUCUGAAUGGAAGGGCCAUCGCUCAACGGAUAAAAGGUACUCCGGGGAUAACAGGCUGAUACCGCCCAAGAGUUCAUAUCGACGGCGGUGUUUGGCACCUCGAUGUCGGCUCAUCACAUCCUGGGGCUGAAGUAGGUCCCAAGGGUAUGGCUGUUCGCCAUUUAAAGUGGUACGCGAGCUGGGUUUAGAACGUCGUGAGACAGUUC